ensembl:lncRNA
UCCAAAACUUGCUGAAAGCACGAGGAAUCUUUUCUUUGGCCUUUAUAGCUCUGUUUAAAUGCAGAUUUUUACUGUAUUUCAAUAUUAGACUUGAAAUGAAAUGGCAGUCUGUGAGCACUCUCAUGGCACUGUUGGCAGCUAGCCUUCGAAAAAAAACUUCAAAACCUUCCAAUGCUGGCCAGAAGCACAAUAGCAAUUUUUAUUUUGUUGGUGGUUGAUACAGUGCUAAUAUCCUUAGCAGUUGUGACUGAGAGGUGCUUUGAAUGUUGCAUGGCUUUAGUUAACUUCUAUCACUCUUAUCUAUUUAUUUGAUAUGUGACCCAAGGAUAUUUGGGGUACAUGUCACAGGAGCAAGUAAAGAAGCACAUUAGGUGGAUCCUGACCUCAUGGAAACUAAUGGUAGGAUUUUCUUUCAUUUUCAAUGAGGUCAAGGCUGUGCUUGAGCUUCUCCUUGGAGCUUAUGGCUCUCAGGGUCCUUGGGGCACUACUGAACCUUACUGGGGCACUAUUGACCCUGACCAGCUCCUCCCCUCUCUCUGGGAGACCAGUUUCAGCUCAGAGCUUGGCACCCAGUCCUGGCCUGAACUAUGCAGGUUUAUCUCUGACCUUGCCUUCUGGCUGGACCCCAGUCCUGUCUCCAGUCCUACCUCUUGCCCUCAUUUGACCUUGGAAGUGCCUGGUCACUUUGUCUGGUCAGAGGCUGCUGGAUUCUUAUUGUACUGCCUGCUUAAGCACGUCCUGACAGUUCAUACCUGACUGGCAGGAGAAACCAAAUGAAGAGCUAAGCUGGCAAAGCUGCUCCGUAAAGUUCUUUCCUCCGCAGCGAGCGCGCUGUGUUCCCAGACUCCUCACACCUCGCAGCCAUUGGGAAAUGCAGCCCUUGUGGCAGAGGGCGGUGGAAGGUGCGUGUGAGGCGCGGAUGUGUGCGAGCGCUCCGGGCCGCUCGCCUUCCCCGCCGGGCGCCCGCCUCGGGGGCUCUGCGCUGCCGCGGCCGGAGCAGAGGCGGGACCCUGCUCUCGCUCAGCCCCUCCGUGGCUCCUGUCCCCACCGCGCCGUUGAAUAACAUUGCAGCUGAACUCUCCGGAGCCCUCUCCUCUCUGUUAGCCGCGAGAUUCCUGUGCCUGAUGCAGAAGCGCAUCCUUUCAUCUCCAGGUGUUCCUUGCUUGGGCAAACUGAGUCCUUUCAACAGCCUUUCCCAUCUCAGCUCUGCUGGAGAGGUUCAUAAAGACUGACACUUCUCAAAAUCUCUGGACCUCAUGAAAAGUGUCCCCCCACCCCAAGCCUUUUGCCUCUGUUGUGCACGUCCUUGGAGGUGGGUAACCCCAAGGGGUCUGCACAGCAGAAAGCAGGGUGUGUUCCCCUGCGCAGCCCUGGGGGUGCUGUCACUGAGCUCUCCUGUGCUUCCCUGCCUGCCUUUACACCUGCUCAGUUUGCUGUGAAAUCUCUGCAGAGUAAACAAGAAACUGUCUCAGCUUUUGUCAUCCUGUGAGUGAUUGGGGUAUAGCCUCUAGUGUGGAAGGCAGAAUGAGACUUCCAGCAAUGCGAGACCAGGAAACAGAAUGGAGACACAGCAGGAUAUGAGGGUUUGGC